rnacentral:rRNA from 1 species
UUGGUUAAGUUAGAAAGGGCGCACGGUGGAUGCCUUGGCACUAGGAGCCGAAGAAGGACGGGACUAACACCGAUAUGCUUUGGGGAGCUGUACGUAAGCGUUGAUCCAGAGAUUUCCGAAUGGGGGAACCCACUAUCUUUAGUCGGAUAGUAUCCUUACGUGAAUACAUAGCGUGAGGAAGGCAGACCCAGGGAACUGAAACAUCUAAGUACCUGGAGGAAGAGAAAGAAAAAUCGAUUUCCUGAGUAGCGGCGAGCGAAACGGAAAGAGCCCAAACCAAGAAGCUUGCUUCUUGGGGUUGUAGGACACUCUAUACGGAGUUACAAAAGAAAGUUAUAAAUGAAGCGGUCUGGAAAGGCCCGCCAAAGACGGUAACAGCCCGGUAGUUGAAAUGGCUUUCCCUCCAGAGUGGAUCCUGAGUACGGCGGAACACGUGAAAUUCCGUCGGAAUCCGGGAGGACCAUCUCCCAAGGCUAAAUACUCCCUAGUGACCGAUAGUGAACCAGUACCGUGAGGGAAAGGUGAAAAGCACCCCGGAAGGGGAGUGAAACAGUUCCUGAAACCGUGUGCCUACAAGUAGUUAGAGCCCGUUAAUGGGUGAUAGCGUGCCUUUUGUAGAAUGAACCGGCGAGUUACGAUUUGUUGCAAGGUUAAGCGGAAAAAGCGGAGCCGUAGCGAAAGCGAGUCUGAAUAGGGCGCAUAAGUAACAGGUCGUAGACCCGAAACCAGGUGAUCUACCCAUGUCCAGGAUGAAGGUAAGGUAAUACUUACUGGAGGUCCGAACCCACGCACGUUGAAAAGUGCGGGGAUGAGGUGUGGGUAGCGGAGAAAUUCCAAUCGAACUUGGAGAUAGCUGGUUCUCUCCGAAAUAGCUUUAGGGCUAGCCUCGAGGUAAAGAGUCAUGGAGGUAGAGCACUGUUUGGACUAGGGGCCCUUCUCGGGUUACCGAAUUCAGAUAAACUCCGAAUGCCAUGUACUUAUACUCGGGAGUCAGACUGCGAGUGAUAAGAUCCGUAGUCGAAAGGGAAACAGCCCAGACCACCAGUUAAGGUCCCCAAAUAUAUGUUAAGUGGAAAAGGAUGUGGGGUUGCUUAGACAACCAGGAUGUUGGCUUAGAAGCAGCCACCAUUGAAAGAGUGCGUAAUAGCUCACUGGUCGAGUGACCCCGCGCCGAAAAUGUACCGGGGCUAAACAUAUUACCGAAACUGUGGAUGAACCUCUUUAGAGGUUCGUGGUAGGAGAGCGUUCUAAGGGCGGUGAAGUCAGACCGGAAGGACUGG